UGUCUAACCUCAAAGAAGUUUUAAACUCUUUUGAAGAUUCAGAUAGAGGGUUUGUGCAAGCCUUGAUGGUGAAGCAACCUUGAGACCCCAGACAUUGGUUGGAAACCCUCUCCAGUGGGGUUAGAACAGGCCUGCACAGUGCACCUGAGAGAAUUCUUGAAGAGACAAUGGACUAGUAGAAGAGCUAACCCAAAGAAGCCCAAAGUAAAGAGAAGAGGACGACGCUAAGAGAGAGCAGG